rnacentral:misc_RNA from 1 species
GCCCGUUUACUCCCUAAUUAUUUAUCUUAGCCUCUCUUUUCGUUAUCAGUUCAAAAUUCGUUAUCUUUCUCAUUCAUUCUACUCUUUAGAUCCGAGCAGAAAUUUUUUUUCUUAUCAAAAGUCUUGUGAUAUAUGAUAUACGUAAAAAAGAACAUCUUUUAGCAAAGGAUUCCCAUUUUAAAUUUAAAUGAUUCAAAUUUUUGUCUUUUUUAAUUGAUAUAGAACUAAGUCCUCGAGUAAAAUGAGGAUGAU